rnacentral:rRNA from 1 species
UACGUAGGGGGCUAGCGUUGUCCGGAAUCAUUGGGCGUAAAGAGCGUGUAGGCGGUCCGGUAAGUCCGCUGUGAAAGUCGGGGGCUCAACCCUCGAAUGCCGGUGGAUACUGUCGGGCUAGAGUGCGGAAGAGGCGAGUGGAAUUCCCGGUGUAGCGGUGAAAUGCGCAGAUAUCGGGAGGAACACCAAUGGCGAAGGCAGCUCGCUGGGACGUGACUGACGCUGAGACGCGAAAGCGUGGGGAGCAAACAGG